GACGAACGCUGGCGGCGUGCCUAAUACAUGCAAGUCGAACGAACCGCGACUAGGUGCUUGCACUUGGUCAAGGUGAGUGGCGAACGGGUGAGUAACACGUGGGUAACCUACCUCAUAGUGGGGGAUAACAGUCGGAAACGACUGCUAAUACCGCAUAGGACAUAGGAUCACAUGAUCCAGUGAGGAAAGGUGGCGCAAGCUAUCGCGAAGAGAUGGACCCGCGGUGCAUUAGCUAGUUGGUAGGGUAAAGGCCUACCAAGGCGAUGAUGCAUAGCCGACCUGAGAGGGUGAUCGGCCACAUUGGGACUGAGACACGGCCCAAACUCCUACGGGAGGCAGCAGUAGGGAAUCUUCCGCAAUGGACGCAAGUCUGACGGAGCAACGCCGCGUGAGUGAAGAAGGUCUUCGGAUCGUAAAGCUCUGUUGUUAGAGAAGAACAGCGCAUAGAGUAACUGUUAUGCGUGUGACGGUAUCUAACCAGAAAGCCACGGCUAACUACGUG
rnacentral:rRNA from 1 species